rnacentral:rRNA from 1 species
UACGGGGGGGGCAAGCGUUGUUCGGAAUUACUGGGCGUAAAGGGCUCGUAGGCGGCCAAUUAAGUCCGACGUGAAAUCCCCAGGCUUAACCUGGGAACUGCGUCGGAUACUGAUUGGCUUGAAUCAGGGAGAGGGAUGCGGAAUUCCAGGUGUAGCGGUGAAAUGCGUAGAUAUCUGGAGGGACACCGGUGGCGAAGGCGGCAUCCUGGACCGGCAUUGACGCUGAACAGCGAAAGCCGGGGGAGUAAACGGG